rnacentral:rRNA from 1 species
AGCGAACGCUGGCGGCAGGCCUAACACAUGCAAGUCGAACGAAGCCUUCGGGCUUAGUGGCGGACGGGUGAGUAACACGUGGGAACGUACCUUUUGGUUCGGAACAACUCAGGGAAACUCGAGCUAAUACCGGAUGAGCCCUUAGGGGGCAAGAUUUAUCGCCGAAAGAGCGGCCCGCGUUAGAUUAGCUAGUUGGUGAGGUAAAGGCUCACCAAGGCAACGAUCUAUAGCUGGUCUGAGAGGAUGAUCAGCCACACUGGGACUGAGACACGGCCCAGACUCCUACGGGAGGCAGCAGUGGGGAAUCUUGCGCAAUGGGCGAAAGCCUGACGCAGCCAUGCCGCGUGAAUGAUGAAGGUCUUAGGAUUGUAAAAUUCUUUUACCAGGGACGAUAAUGACGGUACCUGGAGAAAAAGCCCCGGCUAACUUCGUGCCAGCAGCCGCCGUAAUAC